rnacentral:rRNA from 1 species
UACGAAGGGAGCUAGCGUCGUUCGGAAUCACUGGGCGUAAAGCGCACGUAGGCGGAUUUGUCAGUCAGGGGUGAAAUCCCGGGGCUCAACCUCGGAACUGCCUUUGAUACAAUAAGUCUCGAGUCCGGAAGAGGUGGGUGGAAUUCCUAGUGUAGAGGUGAAAUUCGCAGAUAUUAGGAAGAACACCGGAGGCGAAGGCGGCCCACUGGUCCGGUACUGACGCUGAGGUGCGAAAGCGUGGGGAGCAAACAGG